rnacentral:rRNA from 1 species
GACGUAGGGCGCGAGCGUUGUCCGGAUUUAUUGGGCGUAAAGAGCUCGUAGGUGGUUCGGCAAGUCAGUUGUGAAAUCUCCGCGCUCAACGCGGAGGGGUCAGCUGAAACUGCUGUGACUUGAGUCUGGUAGGGGAGUGUGGAAUUCCCGGUGUAGCGGUGAAAUGCGCAGAUAUCGGGAGGAACACCAGUAGCGAAGGCGGCUCGCUGGGCCACACUUGACGCUGAGACGCGAAAGCUAGGGGAGCGAACAGG